UGAAAUGGAUUGACGCAGUGGUUGCAACAAUGUGCUCAAACACAGCAAUGAUUGUGAGGAUGGCACAGGACCGGGCAGUGUUUCUCUCUGUUGUAGACAGUGUCAGUAUGAGUGGAAACCGACUCAAUGGCACCUAACAACAGUACAUAGAGUGAGGUCUAGAACACAUAACAAAUAUGAUGUUGAUGCUCAGUUACUGGAUGAGUGAGGUGAUGUGUAUUUUUCUUUUUUUAGUUAAGUUACUGUGAUGGUUGAGAUUGUGUGUCAACUUGGCUGGGCCAUGAUUCUCUGUGUUUAUAUGUCACUCCCAUAAUGGAAUCUGCUGUGAGUAGCCAAUUGGUUGAAAGGGAGUUUCCUUGGGGGCGUGGCCUGCAUCCAAACACAAGCAGAGUUCUGGUUUUUUUGCUCACUGUGGGUCCUGCGCUGUCUCCUGUUCAUCUGACCUCUGGCUCUUGGGACUUGAGCUAUCAGCUUAUCUGCUAAUCUUGGAAUUUGUUGACCUUCACAGCCCCAGGGCAGAAGGCCCAAUCUCCAACCUGCCAAUCUUGAGUUCACCAGCCCCUGAGGCUAUGAGAAUUGAGAGAAGCCUCUAUCUUGACAUACGGAAUUGGGACGUUUCGGCCUCUACAAUCACGAUUUCUCCUGGCUUGCCUGACAUCAUCACAGGAGAGUUUCCCAACCAUGUGAAGAUGCAUCUGAGGAGCCUGAGAACCAUCCACAGAGGGGACACUUGUCGCUCGGUAUUCUGGAAACCCCUCAGCCACCUAAGCCCUGGAGGUCUUACUGCUUUUUCCAUAUACUGCCUAAAAUUUGCCUUUCAGAAGCAGCUGGAGAAAAACAGGCCCAGGGACAUGUGCAGAACAUCCACCUGUGACCGCUGUGUGACCUUCCAUCAGGGGCAGUGACGGCCUACAGCCCCAGCCAGGGAAUUGAACCUGGGAAGCAAGAGACUGCGCAGGCGUGACACCCCAUAAUAAGUCCUGCUAUGAACCCCAGAGGCCUCCAGGACAGGAGCCAUCUUGGGAAGCUGCUGCAGGCGCACCUUAGUUAACAUAUCCCUGCCUGUGGGUAUGAAUAAACAUGAAUCUUUCCCUACCCAAGAAAUUUAAAAAAUUCAGGCCCGUCUUUUGUUUUCAGAGAUGAGGGUAAGCGUUGCUCUAGGCGCUCCUCAUCUCCGCUUGCAAGCCUCUUCAAUAAAGCUUUGUU